AUUGGAUACGUGCUGCAAAUUAUUGCGUGCUGCAAAUUAUUGCUUGCUUUGGAAUUGCAUAGGAUUUUUUUUAUUUAAAAAUGAAGUUAAACAUUGUUUUUUUAUUUUUUAUAUUACUAAUUGAGAUUUCGUAUAACGAAGUCAUUUCAAAAGAAAAAGGUAAAGAGUAUGGGAUGUACUUACAUGGACCGCAUUAUCCUCAUUACGCUGGAGCGCCUGCGUUCGGAGGAGUAGCACAAUACCGUCAUGAAAAUUAUGAUGGAGGAGUAAAACGAUAUCGAAUAAAAAACUAAGUAAUUGCAAUAAAACAUUUUAUAUUGUACAACUAAAAGAUUUUAACCAAUUAAAAUAUUUGAAAAAAUUA